GUGGGGAAUAUUGGACAAUGGGCGCAAGUCUGAUCCAGCCAUGCCGCGUGAGUGAUGAAGGCCCUAGGGUUGUAAAGCUCUUUCACCGGUGAAGAUAAUGACGGUAACCGGAGAAGAAGCCCCGGCUAACUUCGUGCCAGCAGCCGCGGUAAUACGAAGGGGGCUAGCGUUGUUCGGAAUUACUGGGCGUAAAGCGCACGUAGGCGGGUAUUUAAGUCAGGGGUGAAAUCCCGGAGCUCAACUCCGGAACUGCCUUUGAUACUGGGUACCUAGAGUAUGGAAGAGGUAAGUGGAAUUCCGAGUGUAGAGGUGAAAUUCGUAGAUAUUCGGAGGAACACCAGUGGCGAAGGCGGCUUACUGGUCCAUUACUGACGCUGAGGUGCGAAAGCGUGGGGAGCAAACAGGAUUAGAUACCCUAGUAGUCC
rnacentral:rRNA from 1 species